rnacentral:rRNA from 1 species
CCUACGGGACGCAGUAGUGAGGAAUAUUGGUUAAUGGAUGAAAGUCUGAACCAGCCAUGCCGCGUGCAGGAUGACGGCUCUAUGAGUUGUAAACUGCUUUUGUACGAGGGUAAACCCCGAUACGUGUAUCGGGUUGAAAGUAUCGUACGAAUAAGGAUCGGCUAACUCCGUGCCAGCAGCCGCGGUAAUACGGAGGAUCCGAGCGUUAUCCGGAUUUUUUGGGUUUAAAGGGUGCGUAGGCGGUUUGAUACGUUAGAGGUGAAAUGUCGGGGCUCAACCCCGAAACUGCCUCUAAUAUUGUUGGU